rnacentral:rRNA from 1 species
AUUGAACGCUGGCGGCAUGCUUUACACAUGCAAGUCGAACGGCAGCGCGGGCUUCGGCCUGGCGGCGAGUGGCGAACGGGUGAGUAAUGCAUCGGAACGUGCCCAGUAGUGGGGGAUAGCCCGGCGAAAGCCGGAUUAAUACCGCAUACGACCUGAGGGUGAAAGCGGGGGACCGAAAGGCCUUGCGCUAUUGGAGCGGCCGAUGUCGGAUUAGCUAGUUGGUGGGGUAAAGGCUUACCAAGGCGACGAUCCGUAGCUGGUCUGAGAGGACGACCAGCCACACUGGGACUGAGACACGGCCCAGACUCCUACGGGAGGCAGCAGUGGGGAAUGUGGGACAAUGGGGGCAACCCUGAUCCAGCCAUGCCGCGUGCGGGAAGAAGGCCUUCGGGUUGUAAAGCGCUUUUGUUCGGGAAGAAACCCUCUGGGCUAAUACCCCGGGGGGAUGACGGUACCGAAAGAAUAAGCACCGGCUAACUACGUG